GUGGCGCACGGGUGCGUAACACGUGGAUAAUCAACCCUUCGGCGGGGGACAACACCGGGAAACUGGUGCUAAUACCGCAUACGACCCAGAGCUCUCCGGCGCUCUGGGGGAAAGCCACGCAAGGGGCACCGAAGGACGAGUCCGCGGCCCAUCAGCUUGUUGGUGAGGUAACAGCUCACCAAGGCUAAGACGGGUAGCUGGUCUGAGAGGAUGAUCAGCCACACUGGAACUGAGACACGGUCCAGACUCCUACGGGAGGCAGCAGUGGGGAAUAUUGCGCAAUGGGCGAAAGCCUGACGCAGCCACGCCGCGUGAGCGAUGAAGGUCUUCGGAUCGUAAAGCUCUGUGGAGAGAGAAGAAUAAAGCCGGUGAAGAGCCGGCCUUGACGGUAUCUCUUUAGCAAGCACCGGCUAACUCCGUGCCAGCAGCCGCGGUAAUACGGAGGGUGCAAACGUUGCUCGGAAUCAUUGGGCGUAAAGCGCACGUAGGCGGCCUGACAAGUUGGAUGUGAAAGCCCUCGGCUCAACCAAGGAAGUGCAUCCAAAACUGUCUCGCUUGAAUCCCGGAGGGGGCCAGAGAAUUCCCGGUGUAGAGGUGAAAUUCGUAGAUAUCGGGCGGAAUACCAGUGGCGAAGGCGCUGGCCUGGACGGUGAUUGACGCUGAGGUGCGAAAGCGUGGGGAGCGAACAGGAUUAGAUACCCUGGUAGUCCACGCCGUAAACGAUGAGUGCUAGACGCCGGAGGAAUUGACCCUUUCGGUGUCGAAGCUAACGCGUUAAGCACUCCGCCUGGGGAGUACGGUCGCAAGACU
rnacentral:rRNA from 1 species